GUGACUCCGUCCUGGUCCCUCUUUCCUGCAGGAUUAACAGGGCCUGGGGCAGAGGUGAUGUUGGUGGCCAUCCCGGAAGCAGCUGUCAAGACCCUGAUCCUCCUCCCCUGCCUCCUAGUCCUCAUAGGCAGGUACCACAGGAUGAAGGCACUGGGGCCAAAAGGGGGCAUGAAGGAUGCAGACACAGUCUCAGGUUAAUCGCUCAGCCUCUGGUGAUGGCCAUCUCUGCCCAAUCAUGCUGGGAUUGUUCCUGGGGCCUCAUCUCUUCCCUGGGUCCCCGAUCCCACCAGCUACCUGUCUCCAGAUUGUGUUUCCAGAGACUUAUCGCCUACUUCCUGCACAGUGUGAACAAUGACGCUUCCUCUCCAUGGCCAGAGAUGAGGAUCAACCACCACAGGCUGGACUUGAGGGCUCAGCGUGGUCUGUCUCCUGCUGGACUCUCCACUAGAUUCUAUGAUCUCCCUGCCUCUCACAUCAUCUCCACAUCUGGCUGGGCCACGGCCUUUGUGAUUCUGAGACUUUGCAUGUGCAGUUCCUUCUGCUGAAAUUUCCUUCCCUCCCGAUCCCUACAUCUCCAACGGA